CACCAGUGGCGAAGGCGACUCUCUGGUCUGUAACUGACGCUGAGGAGCGAAAGCGUGGGGAGCGAACAGGAUUAGAUACCCUGGUAGUCCACGCCGUAAACGAUGAGUGCUAAGUGUUAGGGGGUUUCCGCCCCUUAGUGCUGCAGCUAACGCAUUAAGCACUCCGCCUGGGGAGUACGGUCGCAAGACUGAAACUCAAAGGAAUUGACGGGGGCCCGCACAAGCGGUGGAGCAUGUGGUUUAAUUCGAAGCAACGCGAAGAACCUUACCAGGUCUUGACAUCCUCUGACAACCCUAGAGAUAGGGCUUUCCCUUCGGGGACAGAGUGACAGGUGGUGCAUGGUUGUCGUCAGCUCGUGUCGUGAGAUGUUGGGUUAAGUCCCGCAACGAGCGCAACCCUUGAUCUUAGUUGCCAGCAUUUAGUUGGGCACUCUAAGGUGACUGCCGGUGACAAACCGGAGGAAGGUGGGGAUGACGUCAAAUCAUCAUGCCCCUUAUGACCUGGGCUACACACGUGCUACAAUGGACAGAACAAAGGGCUGCGAGACCGCAAGGUUUAGCCAAUCCCAUAAAUCUGUUCUCAGUUCGGAUCGCAGUCUGCAACUCGACUGCGUGAA
rnacentral:rRNA from 1 species